rnacentral:rRNA from 1 species
UUAAGCGAAGAAGAGCGUAUGGCGGAUGCCUGGCCACCAGGAGGCGAAGAAGGACGCAGCAAACGGCGAAACGCGACGGCGAGCAGUAAGCAUGCAAGGACCCGUCGAUGUCCGAAUGGGGGAACCCGUCAUCCAUGAGGAUGACAUCGAUGAAGAAUCGAGGCGAUACGCAGGGAACUGAAACAUCUCAGUACCUGCAGGAAAGGAAAGUAAGAACGAUUCCGUAAGUAGUGGCGAGCGAAAGCGGAGGAGCCCAAACCAUCUCAGGAUGGGGUUAUAGGGGUGCCGAUAAAGCCUAUCUGACAUGACAGGAGAAGCGCAGGGGAAGGCGCAGCGAAGAGGGUGAAACUCCCGUAUCCGAAGUCGUGGAGGAAGGCGAGGCAGGCCCUGAGUACGUCGGGACACGAGGAAUCCUGACGGAAGGAUCGAGGACCAUCUCGAAAGGCUAAAUACUCCCUGGUGAGCGAUAGUGGACCAGUACCGUGAGGGAAAGGUGAAAAGAACCCCGGGAGGGGAGUGAAAGAGAACCUGAAACCAUAUGCUUACAAGAAGUCAGAGCCCGUUAAUGGGUGAUGGCGUGCCUUUUGUAGAAUGAGCCGGCGAGUUAUGAUGUGGAGCGAGGUUAAGCAGGGGAUGCGGAGCCGAAGCGAAAGCGAGUCUGAAGAGGGCGAAAGUUGCAUGUCAUAGACCCGAAACCGGGUGAUCUAGCCAUGAUCAGGUUGAAGUCGGGGUAAGACCCGAUGGAGGACCGAACCGACCCCCGUUGAAACGUUGGCGGAUGACUUGUGGAUAGCGGAGAAAUUCCAAUCGAACCCGGAGAUAGCUGGUUCUCCCCGAAAUAGCUUUAGGGCUAGCGUUAUGUUAGAUUACCGGAGGUAAAGCACUGAAUGGGCUAGGGGCUGAUAAAGUUACUGAACCCUAUCAAACUCAGAAUGCCGGCUAAUUGAUGCAUAGCAGUCAGACUACGUGAGAUAAGUCUCGUGGUCAAAAGGGAAACAGCCCAGACCCACAGCUAAGGUCCCAAAUAAUUGCUAAGUGGAAAACGAUGUGAGAUUGCCCAGACAACCAGGAUGUUGGCUUAGAAGCAGCCACACAUUAAAAGAGUGCGUAAUAGCUCACUGGUCGAGUGGUCUUGCGCGGAAAAUAUAACGGGGCUAAGCAGUUAACCGAAGCUUGGGCUUGCCGAAGGCAGGGGUAGGGGAGCGUCGAAUACGGGGUGAAGUCGCAGCGGGAGCAGCGGUGGACUGUAUUCGAGUGAGAAUGCCGGAAUGAGUAGCGAGAAUUAUGUGGGAAUCAUAAUGGCCGAAAAUCUAAGGUUUCCUGGGGAAGGUUCGUCCGCCCAGGGUUAGCCGGGAGCUAAGGCGAGGCCGCGAGGCGUAGUCGAUGCACAUACGGUUGAAAUUCCGUAGCCACCUUAUCGAAUGAAAGCUGACACUUGGAAAUAGCGGGACCCGGAGAUUGGUAGAUCCGGGCGUAAGGGACCGAACACGAGUAGGGAAGUCCGCGAUGUUCUGAGGCGAGAAAAGGCGAAGGUAGGGUGCCCGUACCGCAAACCGACACAGGUAGAUGAGGAGAGAAUCCUAAGGCCAACGGGAGAAGGGUUGUUAAGGAACUCGGCAAAUUGACCCCGUAACUUCGGGAGAAGGGGUGCUCCAGAGAUGGAGCCGCAGAGAAUCGGCCCAAGCAACUGUUUACCAAAAACACAGGUUUGUGCUAAAUCGAAAGAUGACGUAUACGAGCUGACGCCUGCCCGGUGCUGGAAGGUUAAGAGGAGAUGUGCAAGCAUUGAAUCGAAGCCCCAGUGAACGGCGGCCGUAACUAUAACGGUCCUAAGGUAGCGAAAUUCCUUGUCAGGUAAG